rnacentral:hammerhead_ribozyme from 1 species
GCACUGCUGAGGAGUCCUACGCUAGGACGAAAUGGCUGUCCAGUAC